rnacentral:rRNA from 1 species
UACAGGGGGGGGCAAGCGUUGUUCGGAAUUACUGGGUGUAAAGGGUCUGUAGGUGGCCAACUAAGUCAGACGUGAAAUCCCUCAGCUUAACUGGGGAACUGCGUCUGAUACUGGAUGGCUUGAGUGUGGGAGAGGAAUGCGGAAUUCCAGGUGUAGCGGUGAAAUGCGUAGAUAUCUGGAGGAACACCGGUGGCGAAGGCGGCAUUCUGGACCAUAACUGACACUGAGAGACGAAAGCCAGGGGAGCAAACGGG